rnacentral:rRNA from 1 species
UUUUUCAGCAAGAUCGUGUCAGCAGCCGCGGUAAUACAUAGGGUGCAAGCGUUGUCCGGAAUUAUUGGGCGUAAAGAGCUCGUAGGUGGUUCGUCACGUCNGAUGUGAAACUCUGGGGCUUAACCCCAGACCUGCAUUCGGUACGGGCGAGCUUGAGUAUGGUAGGGGAGUCUGGAAUUCCUGGUGUAGCGGUGGAAUGCGCAGAUAUCAGGAGGAACACCAAUGGCGAAGGCAGGACUCUGGGCCAUUACUGACACUGAGGAGCGAAAGCGUGGGGAGCGUACAGGAUUAGAUACCCUGGUAGUCCACGCCGUAAAUGGUGGGCACUAGUUGUGGGGACCUUCCACGGUCUCUGCGACGCACUAACGCAUUAAGUGCCCCGCCUGGGGAGUACGAUCGCAAGAUUAAAACUCAAAGGAAUUGACGGGGCCCCGCACAAGCAGCGGAGCAUGCGGCUUAAUUCGACGCAACGCGAAGAACCUUACCAAGGCUUGACAUAUACNGGAAUAUGGCAGAGAUGUCAUAGCCGCAAGGUCUGUAUACAGGUGGUGCAUGGUUGUCGUCAGCUCGUGUCGUGAGAUGUUGGGUUAAGUCCCGCAACGAGCGCAACCCUCGUUCUGUGUUGCCAGCAUUUANUUGGGGACUCACAGGAGACUGCCGGGGUUAACUCGGANGAANGUGGGGGAUGACGUCNAAUCAUCAUGCCCCUUAUGUCUUGGGCUGCACGCAUGCUACAAUGGCUGGUACAAACGGCUGCNAUACCGCNGGUGGAGCGAAUCCNAUAAAGCCNGUCUCAGUUCGNAUUGGGGGUCUGCAACUCGACCCCAUGAA